rnacentral:rRNA from 1 species
ACUUGUACUGAUUGAGAUUUUAACACGAAGUGAGUGGCGAACGGGUGAGUAACACGUGGGUAACCUGCCCAGAAGUAGGGGAUAACACCUGGAAACAGAUGCUAAUACCGUAUAACAGAGAAAACCGCAUGGUUUUCUUUUAAAAGAUGGCUCUGCUAUCACUUCUGGAUGGACCCGCGGCGUAUUAGCUAGUUGGUGAGGUAAAGGCUCACCAAGGCAGUGAUACGUAGCCGACCUGAGAGGGUAAUCGGCCACAUUGGGACUGAGACACGGCCCAGACUCCUACGGGAGGCAGCAGUAGGGAAUCUUCCACAAUGGACGCAAGUCUGAUGGAGCAACGCCGCGUGAGUGAAGAAGGGUUUCGGCUCGUAAAGCUCUGUUGUUAAAGAAGAACGUGGGUAAGAGUAACUGUUUACCCAGUGACGGUAUUUAACCAGAAAGCCACGGCUAACUACGUGCCAGCAGCCGCGGUAAUACGUAGGUGGCAAGCGUUAUCCGGAUUUAUUGGGCGUAAAGCGA